UACGGAGGGUGCAAGCGUUAAUCGGAAUUACUGGGCGUAAAGCGCACGCAGGUGGCUGAGUCAGUCGAUUGUGAAAGCCCUGGGCUUAACCUGGGAAUUGCAGUCGAUACUACUCGGCUCGAGUGUGGGAGAGGGCAGUGGAAUUCCCGGUGUAGCGGUGAAAUGCGUAGAUAUCGGGAGGAACAUCAGUGGCGAAGGCGGCUGACUGGACCUGUAUUGACGCUGAGGCGCGAAAGCCAGGGGAGCAAACGGG
rnacentral:rRNA from 1 species